UACGUAGGGUGCAAGCGUUAAUCGGAAUUACUGGGCGUAAAGCGUGCGCAGGCGGUUGUGCAAGACAGAUGUGAAAUCCCCGGGCUCAACCUGGGAACUGCAUUUGUGACUGCACGGCUAGAGUGUGUCAGAGGGGGGUAGAAUUCCACGUGUAGCAGUGAAAUGCGUAGAGAUGUGGAGGAACACCGAUGGCGAAGGCAGCCCCCUGGGUCGAAGAUUG
rnacentral:rRNA from 1 species